UACGUAGGGUGCGAGCGUUGUCCGGAAUUAUUGGGCGUAAAGAGCUCGUAGGCGGUGUGUCACGUCGGCCGUGAAAACCUGCAGCUUAACUGUGGGCUUGCGGUCGAUACGGGCGGGCUGGAGUUCGGUAGGGGAGACUGGAAUUCCUGGUGUAGCGGUGAAAUGCGCAGAUAUCAGGAGGAACACCGGUGGCGAAGGCGGCUCACUGGCCCGGUACUGACGCUGAGGUGCGAAAGCGUGGGGAGCAAACAGG
rnacentral:rRNA from 1 species